ensembl:lncRNA
AAUGAAAGAAGAAAGCGUGUUAAGAACAAAAUCAUGACUACUAAAGAACUAAAUAUAAGAAUAAUGACUUUCUGCCAUCAUGUUGAUUCCAACUUAUGGGGUGCUCUGGUCCAUAUGGGGUCACGAAGAGUUGGAGACUAAACAACAUCCUGUCAUAUUCAGAACUUUAAUGCUGGCAAUGAGAAAACUGAAAUUGUUAAUUGUUUUUGUGUAUCUUUCGUUCCAUCAUCAAUCCACAUGGAAACCACAGCCCAGAAAUCUCAAGAUGUCUGAGCCUCGGAAGGGCAGCAAGGGAGGAACUAGAAAAGAUGAUCCAAAAUAAGGAUGUGUCCUUGGAGACCAAGACCAAGAACCAUCCAUGAUGCUGCUCUGACAUCACAGUGGCCAGAGUCCAGUCCCCGGCUGGGAGAGGAAGGCCAGGCCCCUGGGCUCCAGCUCUCUGUGCAACCCACCUUCCCUGCUUGACCGAGCGCCAGACCUUGCUGGUCCUCAGCCAUGGCCCAGCCUGCGUGUGCCAAAGGCAACAGAGCGCUCAACCCCUGCAGGAAAAGGCAGGGCCCUCAAGGGCCGGGCCGGGCCAUGUUGGGGACCCCUGGCAUGGAUGAGGUGGAGGACUGGGAGAUGGACCCUGGCUACGUCAACGACAACCGCCGGCCAUGGGCCAACCACGAGAUCUCAACCCCUUCCGUAAUUUCUGAUCUCUCCAGAUCCAUUCAGGACUGCAACCUCGGGACGUCAACUCCACCCGCCAGGGCAGACCACUCCAGUUGCCAGAGACACUGCCAGGGUUGCAAAUAUUCAGCUCAGAGCCACGUCAGUCUUCCCAAGGGACAUCGGGGGGUCCCUCCGUGUCCGCACACGCGCUCGCGGACCAGGCUGGGCAUUGAGCGAUCUUCCAUUUUCGACUGCAACGCUGUGGAAAAGCUGGACGCCUUUUUCUCCGAGAAACUGAAAGGCUGGGGGCACGAUGCAGUCCCGCUGCCUGACAGCUGCGAGACCACCGAGGCGCCCCCAGAAGCCACCCGUGACCACAGCAGAGCCCAGAACAACUCUGGAAAGGGAGAGGCAGCCGCAGAGGGAAAGGGCAGGAAGCAGAAACCCGGCUGGGCAACGCACGGGAGGGGAAAGAGGGGAGCAGAGCCUGCCUGGCAUCCGCCAGAGAACGACAGCCCAGCCGUGCUCCACGAUCCACACCUGAGGCACCUCCGGCCGAACACGGCCGGCAGAGGAGAGCAUUCGGGAGGCCUGCUCUCGAAGCACAGACCCUCCCCAGCUGUGUACGGCUCAGCCAGGAUCUUGCCCCAGUGCAGGAUCAGUCACGUCCAAAGGUGCACGGCCUGCCAGGCGUUUAACCGGGAUCUGCCAGCCCCCUAUGGGAACUGCUGGGCCCCACGGAAAGAGGAGGGGCAGGGGGGCGCAAGUGCCCCACACCAAGUGCCAAGGACCGGCCCUUCUUCCCUCCAUCCAGUUUCAGACCGGCUUUCCAAAGUGCAGCAGUGGCUGGAGCAGACUCCGGCAGACGCACCUCCACACCCCCCGCGGCCCCAGCCGCACGGAGCCUGGGGCUCCCCGGACCCGAAGGAAGAUGCUCCUUGGGGCAGGGCCAAAGACGCUGGGGACUGGCGGGGCCAAGAACCCCAUGCGGGGAGCAGGCACAGAAGGAAGAGCCCUCCGGAAGAGCCUCAGGUGAAGGGCUGGAGAGAGGAGGGGGGGGAGCCUAGCCCUUUUGUAAGCAAAGGGCAAACCCUCUCCGGGUAGCUUGAAAAUAUUGCGGGGAAGGAGGGGAGUGGAAGUGUGUGUGUGUAUGAAAGAGAGAGAGAAAUAAGAGCACUAAGAUGCUCAACAGAUCGACCGGGCGCUCUUCUGUUGGUGGCUGCUCAGCAAAGGCUGGUCGGCCACCCCUCGAGGAUGCUCGAGAAU